rnacentral:Y_RNA from 1 species
GGCUGGUCUGAGUGCAGUGGUGUUUACAACUAAUUGUUGAUCACAACCAGUUACAAAUUCCUUUGUUCCUUCUCUACUCCCACUGCUUCACUUGACUAGCCUAAA